AUUGAACGCUGGCGGCAGGCCUAACACAUGCAAGUCGAGCGGAUGAAGGGAGCUUGCUCCUGGAUUCAGCGGCGGACGGGUGAGUAAUGCCUAGGAAUCUGCCUGGUAGGGGGGGAUAACGUCCGGAAACGGGCGCUAAUACCGCAUACGUCCUGAGGGAGAAAGUGGGGGAUCUUCGGACCUCACGCUAUCAGAUGAGCCUAGGUCGGAUUAGCUAGUUGGUGGGGUAAAGGCCUACCAAGGCGACGAUCCGUAACUGGUCUGAGAGGAUGAUCAGUCACACUGGAACUGAGACACGGUCCAGACUCCUACGGGAGGCAGCAGUGGGGAAUAUUGGACAAUGGGCGAAAGCCUGAUCCAGCCAUGCCGCGUGUGUGAAGAAGGUCUUCGGAUUGUAAAGCACUUUAAGUUGGGAGGAGGGGCAGUAAGUUAAUACCUUGCUGUUUUGACGUUACCAACAGAAUAAGCACCGGCUAACUUCGUG
rnacentral:rRNA from 1 species